CACAGAUGAUGACAGGCUGGCGUGUAGGUCUACGGCCUUCAUUAGCUAACUAACCGGGCGGCCCUCGACCGGCACGUAUACAGCAACAAGUCGCUGCUCCACCCCCUCUCUGCCAAUCCGAGGUGGGGCACCCUGACCGACCAGAGGAGGCGCUAGUGCAGCGACCAGGACAAAUACCCACGUCCAACUUCCCACCCGCAGACACGCCCGAUUGUUUCUGUCGGGCCGCCCAACCAAGCCGGAGGUAACACGGGGAUUCGACCCGGCAAUCCCAUGUUGGUAGGCAACGGAAUAGGCCGCCACGCUACCCUGACGUCCGCAACAAGGGAUUGAGUGUUAACCUGUCCAGGAUAUCUCCCUGCCCUCUGCCCAGUGCAUUCUGGGAUAGGUUCCAGCCCUCCGUGACCCCUGAAAUGGGUUUGUGUGGAG